rnacentral:lncRNA from 1 species
CUCUGUAGAACAAGAUUCUUUCCUCAUUAGAGGGUGGCCUUUAUAAAUGCUCACCCUUGGAUGGUCUACUGUUCUGCUUUUGUCUAGUUUGCCUACAGUGUCCCCUUCGAGCUUCUUCAGCAGUGCUUCACUGGAAGUGGUAUCAGGUACAUUAAUUCGGUGGCCGAUCUCUCUCUUUUCAAGCAUUUCAUUUAACGCUUCUGAAGAAAAUUCAUAUGUAUUUGUAUUGAUGACAUCUGCUCCAUUCAUUACAAGUAGAUUAACCAUGUUUUCAUGCUUCUCUUUCAUGGCAAUCUGCAACGCUGUUAAUCCAUGACGAUUCUUUGCAUCUAUGGGCAAUCCAUGUUUCAGUAGUUCUUUCAUCACUGUCUGAUCAUUUCUUUGUGCAGCAAGGCAUAAGAGAUCACCGGCAGUGAACGGGUUGGAAACAGCAGCACAAUUAUAUAGGACCCUAAAUAUCGAAUGGUGUUUUGAGGAUAUCGCAUUCCAUAGUGAGGUGUUGCCAUUCAUAUCUGCCACAUACAUGGAAUAACAAGAUACAACGUAAGAACUUGAUUCAUUCUCGGAUCAAUGGUGUUAACAUCAUAUUUUACCUUGUAAAUGUACAUUGCAUGCAUGCUUAAGGAGUACCAGCACACAAUCUUCAUGCCCUUUUGUUGCUGCUAUGUGCUGAGGAAUCACACAAGAUAUUUUCAUUAAUGCAUGAACAUUCUUUGAAACAUAUUGACUUGAAAGGUCAACAGAAAAUAAAGCUUACCAAUGGGGUUCUUCCUUUAGAAUCUCCGAUGUCAGGAUCCAACCUUGCUUUCAGAAGCUCAUCAAGAAAAGCAGCAUUGCCUAUAUCGGCCGCAUUCAGCAAAUUAAUAGUGAUGUUUUUUGGCUCAUCGUCUUCUUCUCCGCCCUCUUCUGCUAGGUCUCCGAUUUUAAGAUCCUUUA